CUGGCUUAGACUACAGGGUUGAAGGGACAGGUGGUGGGGACGGAAUCUAACACUUCCAGCACCACACUGCUUAACUUGUUCCAAUGCAUAUGUGGCAUUUUUAAAAUCUGGUGAAAUAGAAAGAGGUUAUUUCUAUUGUAAAGGCAAAUGUGCAAAUGAACAUUUAUUUAAAUGUCUCACAUCAGAAUAUGGAAAAAAGAAACUGAAGUGAGUUUUAUAGGAAUCCCUUAAGAAAACACACUCUCUCUCUGAUAAAGUGCAUUUCUAGGAACAGGGCCGAUUUCCUCUGCCUUCCACUAAGAACGGUAACAUCACAUUCUAGAUGAUUCUAGAACACAUCCACCUCCUACAGAAGGCAGGGCAGACAAUGAUGGUAGGGUCUGCAGCAAAGACACAGGCUCCUUGAAGACGCCCAUGGCGAGAUCAGCCCCAGGUCGCCGCUUCCACAGACGGGCCUUUUCCUAAAGCGGAUGAAGGGUGUCAAAUAGGCCAGUAAAGCAACCUGUGCUCUCCAAGGAAUGGGAAAGGAAGGAUGGAACCAUUACCUUCUGGUCCCGUAACUGCGAGUUCCAGUUACUCAACCUCUCCACGUCAACCAGACGGAACUCCGACCAGGUGCCCCCAAGACCCCUGGGCCCACGUCGCACCCGUCCUCAGCGCUGCUCAUCUUCCCCAACAGGCCCUGCCACUCUCUGGCCCCACAACAGAAGGCUGCCCCAGGGCCCCAAACGAGGCUCCUGGUGUCCCCCACCCACUCUUCCGGACCUCAAGGGGAGGGCUGGGCAUUCAGCUUCGCAUGUCCCUACCUAGCAGAGUGCCCUAGACCAGCGAAGGGACCAAGGCACGGAAGGACGACUGAUUUAUUCUCACUCUUAGCAGACACUUAACGAGAUUCACGGACAAAAACUGCCAGGGUUAACAGAUCAGAGGAAUGUCAGCCUCGAUUUCCACUCACAUGUGCACGCGCACACACACACACACGAAAAUAAACAAGAUACAAACAUGACAAGCGCUAUCAGAAGACAAAAGGCGGGCUGGAGACGCUUCACAGAACACAGGGAUGCCCAGGGUAAAAUCCCAUCCCCGUCCUCGAGGUACAAGUGAGAGCCAUGCUGCCCUCAGCUCAGUCACGUCCAGCCACACCCGCUGGUAAGCUCAGCAUCAACAUCGUCCCAGGUGAGGUUACCCCAAAGACGCCUCUCCUGCUACUAGCCAGGAGCCAGAGAGAAAGGGGGCACCCUGAGAACCCAAAAGCAGUGACAGACCACGGGACAAAAGGUACCACGGAACAAAAGGUGCCACAGAACGAAACAUGUCAUGGAACAAAACGUGCCACGGAACGAAAUGCCAGGACACGGCAGGGGGAUAAACCUGGCCUCCAACUCCCUUUCAACUCAGCACUCACCUUUCCGGGGGCUCUUGUGCCUCUGCUUCCUCUAUGCUAACGGGAGGGUAAAUAUUUGGGACAAGGGGCUCUGAGGAUGCCUCUAUUUUUAAAACUGCACUUAAUACAGUCACAGCAUAACCCAAAUCCUCAUUUGAUUCUAGAAGCAGGAAAUCAGAGCGCCCUAUCAAACCCCUCUCAGGAACACACACACAGGCUCUUACUGAGUGAACAAGUCUAUCACCACCGAGAGUUAAGAACAAGGCAGAAGACACGUGUAGAGCAAGACUAUGAAUGCACAGGGCUGCUCGAGUGUUUCAGGGAAAACCUGCAAGAUGUGACUCUACUGCUUCUGUGAGGAGUGAUAUUUAAUUUCCCCAAGGAACCCGAGACCUGGGAAAAGCGUAGUGUUCACAGUGACCUGUCAGGACCACGUCCAACUCUGUGACAGGUAUGGUGGGCUCAAUAUCUGAAACUUUCAACGCUGGCAGACAAGAGGCAUCUUGAGGUUUGCUUUGUUGAGUCCGUAAUUCUAAACCUAAAAUAGAAACAAGAAAAAGGAAUAUUCAGGGCCAUAAUUAAAAGGUUUGAUGCAACUUA